rnacentral:rRNA from 1 species
UACGAAGGGGGGCUAGCGUUGUUCGGAAUUACUGGGCGUAAAGCGCACGUAGGCGGAUACUUAAGUCAGGGGUGAAAUCCCGGGGCUCGACCCCGGAACUGCCUUUGAUACUGGGUAUCUCGAGUCCGGAAGAGGUGAGUGGAAUUCCGAGUGUAGAGGUGAAAUUCGUAGAUAUUCGGAGGAACACCAGUGGCGAAGGCGGCUCACUGGUCCGGUACUGACGCUGAGGUGCGAAAGCGUGGGGAGCAAACAGG